UACGUAGGGUGCAAGCGUUAAUCGGAAUUACUGGGCGUAAAGCGUGCGCAGGCGGUUUUGUAAGUCUGUCGUGAAAUCCCCGGGCUUAACCUGGGAAUUGCGAUGGAUACUGCAAGGCUAGAAUCUGGCAGAGGGGGGUAGAAUUCCACGUGUAGCAGUGAAAUGCGUAGAGAUGUGGAGGAACACCGAUGGCGAAGGCAGCCCCCUGGGUCAAGAUUGACGCUCAUGCACGAAAGCGUGGGGAGCAAACAGG
rnacentral:rRNA from 1 species